CACUAUCAUAUUUGAAUUUUUCUUUGUUUUUUUUUUUAUCCAAUUUUUUAUUCUCUACAUCAUGUCACAGUGUGCAAUCAGUGAACAGAAUGAUAACUAACAAAUUGCCCUUCAUCAGUUCCCCAAUCAUCAGAAACAAAUUAUGAAGGAAAAAAGUGCAUAAUUUAAAUGUUGUGUAAAGCAUGUCAUUUGUGACAAAAGUCAAACUUAAUCUGUAGCUGUUAAAUUUCAUACCAGUACCUCUAAACAUAAUGUGUCUUUUAAAAAAAAGAAGCAGAAAAACAAGAUUUUUUUUUUUUUGUAAAGGGCUAUAACUCUUGUAAAACUGGGUCAACUUUGAAUGAUCAGAUUUGAUAUAUAGUUAUUCAUCAGAUAUUAAAUGGAGGAAAUGACAGUACUAAAUGUCAACACAACUGAUAAAAAAUCAAGGGCCUCAGAGUCGACUCGCCCGCGAUUUCCAACAUUGAACAAGGGGUGGGGUUAUACAGCACUGUCUUAUUAGCUAUUAUUCUGAAUCUUUAAAGCAUGGUAAAACAUGCUUAUUAUAUGCUUCACUAGAUAUCUAUGGAAAUGCAACGACACAAACUAGAAACACGACACAUCGGCUAGAGGAAUUUUAAAAUUGUGUGAACAUAAAAGUUCAAGAUCAAAGGUCACUAUCCAUAGUACCCAUCAAAAGCCUACCGCAAAAGACAAAACAGUAGCAGCCCAGCAGGUAUCGAUACAAAUUAUGCUCUUCAAGUCUUCAAACAUCUCGAGUCUACACUAAAUGAGGACACUUGCAUGCUGUUUUGAAAUAUUGUAGCCUUGACCUUCUGAGAAGAUUUUUAUAUGAGUUGUUCCACUUGAUAUUGUAUUCUUGUGUAAAUCAUCAGUCUCAUCAACAUCACAAAGAAACGGAAUAUCAGCUCUACCUACAGGUGCACAUGACAUCUGAACCACCCCAUCCAAUUUUUCUUUCUUUCUUCCAUUUCUAGAUCUAUAUUUUUUUUCACCUCAAAAGGAAGCUUGGUUCUUAAUUAAUAAUCAUCAAGAUUGAAUCCUGUUUUACCAAAGAUGCUUUGUGGCAAGUUUGGUUGAAAAUGGUCCAAAGGAUUUUCAGAGGAAGUUGAAAAUGUGAAAAGUAUCAUGCAAACAAUAAAUUGUCUGACUAUACCACAUGCGACUUGAACAUUACAUGGUGUCAGAAGUGGGAACCCUAACCCCGAACAGGAGAGAAGUUUCCAGAGACUCAAAGAAGCAUGUACCAAGCCACCAGUGUUAGCUCUAUUCAAUGUCAACAACCGGUUGAGAUCGAAUGUGAUUCGAGUAAAGACGGAUAUGGAGCUGUUUUGAUACAAGAAGGUCGUUCUGACAAUGGACCACAGUUCAGUUCCACUACCUUCAAGAAAUUCUGUUCAGACCACGGAAUCGAACACGAAAGAAGUAGUCUCCACUUCCAAAGCUCAAAUGGCGAGGCUGGGAGAGCAGUACAAACCACAAAGUGCUUAUGGAUGAAGUGUGAAGACAAGCAGCUUGCUCUCUUCGGCUACAGGACAACAUCACUGGAAAACAUCCGUCACCAGCUCAACUCUUAAUGGGACGCAGACCAAGAAACGCAUUACCAGCAUCACAAGAUCUGCUCAAGCCGACAACACACGACCUCACCAACAGGAAAACAACACUUAUAUACACAGAAAGCCAAACAGAAAUUUUACUAUGACCGGAGAAGAGGUGUCAAGGAGUUGUCCCCCCUAGAAAGUGGUGCGACAGUCUGAAUGAAAACACCCGGCUUGAAAUCCUUAUCCUCAGGAACCGUACAGAAAGCCGACAAACCAAGAUCUUAUUUGGUGAAGAGUAAUGAGAGACUUUACCAUAGAAACUGUGUACAUCUUCACAAAUCGGAUGAAACCUCUCAGGCUGAUCAUGACGUUCCUAUAGAAGAAAGCUGUUCAAGUGAGCCUACCAUAGAAAACACUGCAACCCCUCUAGUCAGUGCCAAUCCCGCCAACCACAAGGAUGCACUCCAGACCAGAUCUGGACGAGUCGUGAAACCUCCAGAGAAACUUGAAGUUUGAAGUGCUUGUAAAUAAUUCUGUUCGUGAUUUAGAAUAGUUUUAAUAUUAGUUGCAUGUUUAUUCAGCAGCGUGCACUGUGUUUGGGGCACAAUAAUCCCCGUGCAGCUGCCAGAACAUAAGUUCUGAGGGACAAGUUAAUGUUAUAAACAUAUAAUUCUCCAGACUUUUGCCAUGAACUGUUUAAAGUUAUAUUUCAUCCAAUUUUGCAAUUAAUAUCAGUAUGCCAAAUGACUAAAUCUAUCCAAAAUUAUAGUGAGGGGGAUGUAAUGUAUUUCUAUGUACGACUUAUCUAGUAAGGUAUGUUCCAGUUAUAUAUCUUGAUUGUAUUUACCGCCAAGUUGGUGUUUCUGAAUAAACCCGAGUUAACUAC